UUAAUUGAAACCAAAAUAGAGGUAUAUUAAUGUUAAUAAUAAAAUUGAUAACACACAAUCCAAUUGAA
rnacentral:tRNA from 1 species